UACGUAGGGGGCGAGCGUUGUCCGGAUUUAUUGGGCGUAAAGAGCGUGUAGGCGGUUCGGUAAGUCUGUCGUGAAAUCCUGAGGCUCAACCUCGGGCGUGCGAUGGAUACUGCCGGGCUAGAGGGUGGUAGAGGCGAGUGGAAUUCCUGGUGUAGCGGUGGAAUGCGCAGAUAUCAGAAGGAACACCGAUGGCGAAGGCAGCUCGCUGGGACGGUACUGACGCUGAGGCGCGAAAGCGUGGGGAGCGAACAGG
rnacentral:rRNA from 1 species